rnacentral:misc_RNA from 1 species
AAUUCCCGAAGCGUCUCCGCG